GAGAGAAAGAGAGGAGUUUUUUCAGAUUAUUUUUUUAUAUUUUUUAUAUUAGUUGUUUAUUUAUUUAUUUUUAAAUUAAUAAAAGAGUAUAAAAAUGACUAAAUCAUAAACACAACUAAAUUUAAAACUAAUGUCAUUAAUGAUGAAUAAUUGUUUUUUUUUUUUGGAUUUUUUAGAUUUUAAAAAAGAAGGGUUAAAUAUACCAAGGGUCCUCCUAAAUAUGAUCACAUUCAAUUUUAGCCCCUCUAAAACUUUCCAUCAAACAAUGGUUCUC
rnacentral:lncRNA from 1 species